rnacentral:rRNA from 1 species
AGAGUUUGAUCCUGGCUCAGAUUGAACGCCGGCGGCAGGCCUAACACAUGCAAGUCGAACGGUAACAGGAAACAGCUUGCUGUUUCGCUGACGAGUGGCGGACGGGUGAGUAAUGUCUGGGAAACUGCCUGAUGGAGGGGGAUAGCUACUGGAAACGGUAGCUAAUACCGCAUAACGUCGCAAGACCAAAGAGGGGGACCUUCGGGCCUCUUGCCAUCAGAUGUGCCCAGAUGGGAUUAGCUAGUAGGUGGGGUAACGGCUCACCUAGGCGACGAUCCCUAGCUGGUCUGAGAGGAUGACCAGCCACACUGGAACUGAGACACGGCCCAGACUCCUACGGGAGGCAGCAGUGGGGAAUUUUCCGCAAUGGGCGCAAGCCUGACGGAGCAAGACCGCGUGGGGGAGGAAGGCUCUUGGGUUGUAAACCCCUUUUCUCAGGGAAGAACACAAUGACGGUACCUGAGGAAUCAGCCUCGGCUAACUCCGUGCCAGCAGCCGCGGUAAUACGGAGGAGGCAAGCGUUAUCCGGAAUUAUUGGGCGUAAAGCGUCCGCAGGUGGUGGGGCAAGUCGGCGGUUAAAGACUGGGGCUUAACUCCAGAAAGGCCGUGGAAACUGCACCACUAGAGGGCAGUAGGGGUAGAGGGAAUUCCCGGUGUAGCGGUGAAAUGCGUAGAGAUCGGGAAGAACACCAGUGGCGAAAGCGCUCUACUGGACUGCAACUGACACUCAGGGACGAAAGCUAGGGGAGCGAAUGGGAUUAGAUACCCUGGUAG